rnacentral:snoRNA from 1 species
AAGCUGUGAAGAAUUGUGUGCUCAUUGUGAAGAUAGGGUCCAUCACUACCGUAAGAUGUUCAUCGGACGAGAAGGAGCUGAGCUU